AUGGCAAUACAGAAAACCCGUGUCACCCCACAAGCCCUGCCUUGCUGGAUGACUUUCUCUCUACUACGUGGAUGGAAGACGGCUUGCCUUGGUCCCCUUACCCUGCUGUGCACUGGAUGCCCAUAUGCAUGAGCACAUAACAGCAAGCAUCAGCUUACCAUGUGGGUCCAAGCGGAGGUGCAGAGCCACGUGGAGGGUGGAUAAUUUGAGUUUUGGACACAGAGCAUCACGGGUGGUGCCUUGGCCAGCUGUGUGCUGAGGUCAGCCUGGACUUGGACAUCUUGCUUUCUGCUCUUUGCCUUCUCCUUUUGUCCUCCCUGAGCACAAGAAGACCAAUCCUCUGUCACCCAUCCGGCACAAACAGGGAAGCAAAUCCAAAAAGCACCAGCGGGGAUGCAGCAAGCACGCAAUGAGGAAAAGCAGAAGGAAGAAUGACCCCGUGCCAGUGUUACAAGCAGCUUCCUGAAAGCAGCUUGCGGCCAGGAAAACCGCUGGAUCAAAUCCCUCGGAGGAGGAGAAAGUCCAGGAACUUCUUUGUGGCCUUUCAGAUUGGUAUGUCCACUCCAGUUCACUGGCUGUGCUCAAACUGGAAGAUAUCAUGCAUAGGAGUGGAGAUCCUCACGACUUGGACCAUGCUCUGAACAAUCUGAUCUAGCUGUAGGUAUCCCUGUUCACUGCUGGGGAGGUGGACGAGGUGGCCUUUAAGGGUCCCUUCCACCUCUAUGAUUCCACAUCCACCCGCAGCACAGGGCUGCUUCCAGAGCCUGCUUCUUCUACCUACCCUUCCUCAGCCCUGCUCUCCAGGAGACUGGAGUGACAGACAUGCCUGUGUUCAAAUCUUCAGACACUAAUCUUCCCGGGUUGCAUCUUUGUCAUACGGGAUUUUAAUGGAGUAACAGAGUGAGGUCAUCACAGCCGGCUGCACUUUUAUUUCAGCGUGGUCGCUAUAGCAGCCAACGUCAAAACAAAACAUAUAGUUCACCAAAGCAAAGUUUCCUGGCUGAUGGUGUUCAUUUUUCUUUAUGAGCUGACUUUGGAAGACAGCGAAGCAGCAGCCAAUGGAAACUCAAAUGUCUUUCUCUCUCCCCUGUCUGCUCCUCCGUCUCUGCAGCGAUCGAGAUAAAGGUUAGACAUCUGUUUCGGAUCUGCUCUGUUUAAGUGAAGGAAAGACUCUCAUAAAUCACCCUGCAGCUGGAGCACAGUCCCAAUUCAUUGCCAUUUACCCCACGGCAUACAGCUCAGCCCUGAGCUCUGCUGCUGGGAGGGCUGAGCCUCCUGCCAUUUUGUGAGCACUCCCCACCUUGCUCUGCAGCUGGCUGUCGCCUACACAAGUGAGGGAUGAUCAUAGAGUCAUGGAAUCACCAAAGUUGGAAAAGACCUCCAAGAUCAUCCAGUCCCACUGUCCACCUACCACCAUUAUUUCCCUGCUAAGCCGUGUCCCUUAGUGUAAUAUCUACACAUUUCUCAAACACCUCCAGGGUCGAUGUCUCCACCAUCUCCCUGCGACAGAGGGACAAAAGGAGAAGGGUGGACAAACGCCUUCCCAACGCCUAGGAUGGAAGAAGAUAGGACAAACAAGGGCAGCUUGUGCGAGGACGCCCGUAUUAGGAUUGAGUGUAGGUGAUCUUCUUCAUACCACACCAAGCACGUGGGAGCUGUGGUCUGGGAAACAACUCAUCACAACAUCGCUAGAGUUUUGCAGCAUGCAUCUCAGAUUUCUCUAACAGACAUGCUGGAUGAGUUUGCAUAGCAGUGCUUCUCAGCACUAAGCACUUGAAAGGCCUACAGAAGCCAACCAGUGGCUGGAAGAGCCAAGAGAAACAUGCCAUCAAUCUCCCAAUGAACUGAACUGAGGUCAGGAGCAGAAAAGGAAAGAAAGGGUGAACAGCCCCAACCUCCAG